AAAAAUUAAAACCCCUAAAACUAUUAUGCCUCUCUCCCUCCCCACGACCCAUUCUUCCUCCUCCCCACGAUCCCUUCUUCUUCCUCGGCACCGGCAAGCUUCGAAGGCAGCUCCUAAGUGCGAAGACCUUCAAGCCACAGCGACGGAGCAUGGGGCUGCUGCAAGGUCGGCGGAGAGCUAGAGAGCAGAGGUCAUGGACGACGAUCUCCAAGCUUCGAUGGUGGCUCUUGGGCGACAAGCUCUGAGCGCCUCUGCAAAGGUUCAAAUUCUUAUCAUGAAUCUCUACUCAUAAUCAUUCAAUGAAUCUGAAUUAGAUGAUUCAAUCUUCAACUACCAUCUUGUGUUGAUAACAAAAUUCAUUAUCAAACCUCUAGUCAUCAUAGUUUAUUGAGGAAAAAGCAAGGGUUUGGUGGUUCAGCCAUGAGUUAGAGAGCUCUGGGGGCGAGGUGCACAUUGUCAGCUGUUCGGCCGCCACGGUCGAGGGUUUGUACAGAGACGAAAACCUAAAAUGUAAUUUUUCCAUUAGAGUGGCCAUGGUUAUUUAUAACUUUCAGAAUUUUUGUAAACAUGUCUUUUAAACCCUAUUUUGGGAUCCCAUGUACUAAACCUUCAUUUUAUAUGAAAAAUUAUCUGUUUAUAACUAAAACCUUUUAAUCUUUACCUAAUUACGACUUUAGGACCAUGUUUUCAACUUUAUGACUUGAUUAGCAAGUCUUGCACCUUCAUAAACAUACAGUGUAACGGUUCUGG